UGCUUGAUGACCUUCUGGAGGUCCUGGAAGUUGAUGUGGAGAGUGUAAAGGGCAGGCUGUAUUGUCCAUUGGUGUUGUGGCCAUGAAAAGACUUAAGAGAGGGCGAACGCUUUUAUAUUCACUCUUGCAGGUACUCGAUGUUGUGUGUGGGCAGAAAUGCAGAGUGGACUACCACCAGUCACUGGAGCCAACUUUCCUCACAGACGAGAGACUUGUUCAGACACUGACUGCAGUUUCGAGAAUAGCACUCAACUGUAUACUUACACACUUCAGGACCUUUUUCCUUGGUGGAUGGAUUCAGAGAUGACCAAGAGAUGCAGCCAUGACUGUGUCACAUGGAAGUUAAAGAUACUGGACUUAAACAAAUGAUAAUAAUCUUGAUAUGGUUUUCUGGUGUUGAAUUAAAAGACAAAGUGUCAAUUAAUUGUCAAUUUACAUGAUCAUUACUCAUUAAAUUGGCAUAGCAAUAAUUAUGAUUACUAUCUAUCUAAAUACAUGUAGUGAUAAU